rnacentral:rRNA from 1 species
AAUAUUAAUUACGAAAGCAAAAAAUUAUGGCGGUAUUUUAAGCUUUUCAGAGGAAUUUGCUCUUUAAUGGAUAAAACACCUAAACCUUACUUAAAUUAGUACCUUUCAGUUUGUAUACCACUAUUAUAAUAAUAAUUUGUUAUUAUUAUUAAUAUUCUUAAAUUAGAAGAAAAUUAAGUCAAGGUGCAGCAUAAAUUUAUGAAUGAAGUGAAUUACAUUUCUUUAAAGAAAAAUGAAAUUGAAAUAAAACAUUUAGGAUUUGAUAGUAAAGUUAAAAUAUUAUG